rnacentral:tRNA from 1 species
CUGGGUGAUGCCAAAGGUUAAGGCACUUGGCUGCUAACCAAAAGUUGUAGGUUCAAGCCCACCCAGC